UACGGGGGGAGCAAGCGUUGUUCGGAUUUACUGGGCGUAAAGGGCGCGUAGGCGGCCAGCACAAGUCAGUUGUGAAAUCUCCGGGCUUAACUCGGAAAGGUCAACUGAUACUGUGCGGCUAGAGUGCAGAAGGGGCAACUGGAAUUCUCGGUGUAGCGGUGAAAUGCGUAGAUAUCGAGAGGAACACCUGCGGCGAAGGCGGGUUGCUGGGCUGACACUGACGUUGAUGCGCGAAAGCCAGGGGAGCGAACGGG
rnacentral:rRNA from 1 species